rnacentral:rRNA from 1 species
UACGUAGGGGGCGAGCGUUGUCCGGAUUCAUUGGGCGUAAAGAGCUCGUAGGCGGUUCGGUAAGUCAGGUGUGAAAUCUCCACGCUCAACGUGGAGGGGCCACCUGAUACUGCCGUGACUCGAGUCCGGUAGGGGAGUAUGGAAUUCCCGGUGUAGCGGUGAAAUGCGCAGAUAUCGGGAGGAACACCAGUGGCGAAGGCGGUACUCUGGACAGUUCCUGACGCUGAGGCACGAAGGCCAGGGGAGCAAACGGG